rnacentral:rRNA from 1 species
AAUAAACGCUGGCGGCGUGCCUAACACAUGCAAGUCGAGCGAGAAAGCUCCUUCGGGGGCAAGUACAGCGGCGGACGGGUGAGUAACGCGUGAGCAACCUGCCCUGUACAGGGGGAUAGCCACUGGAAACGGUGAUUAAUACCCCAUAAACCCAAAAGGCCGCAUGGUCUAAUGGGCAAAGUUCCAACGGUACAGGAUGGGCUCGCGUCUGAUUAGCUAGUUGGUGAGGUAACGGCUCACCAAGGCGACGAUCAGUAGCCGACCUGAGAGGGUGAACGGCCACACUGGAACUGAGACACGGUCCAGACUCCUACGGGUGGCUG